CUAUAGGCUAAUGACAUAUGGAUUUUUUUGUUCAUCUUCUAAAGAUAAUUACCAUAUCAUCAAUAUGAGCUAUUUUGGAGAUGAAUUUCCUCCUCCUCUUUCAUUGAUUGCAAUUUUCGCGAUUAUCAUUGUGUACAUGUUGAUUUGUUAUCUCGUUCUUGAUCUAAUCGAUCAACAACAAGGCGAUCCCAACGAUGAUAUAGAUGUUGCUCAUGACUCGGGUUUAUCUCUUGAAGAGUUGCAAGAAAUCAAUUGUUUCUACCUCAAAGGACAAGUGAAUUACUCAGUGUGUGCUAUUUGUUUGGAUGGUCUUGUUGAUGCAGAAUUGUGCAGAAGUUUUCCAGCUUGUAACCAUAUGUUCCAUGCUCAAUGUAUUGAUCCUUGGUUAGCCAAAAAAUCAACUUGUCCAACUUGUCGAACUCCUUUUAGACCACGAUUUUCAUUCUUAAAGUAAACAGAACAGUCAAGACUUAUAGUCUAGUGGUAUCAGUAACAGUGAGAAUAUAAUUAAAUAAUAAAUACGAGGUUAUAAUUCUUGUUUCAAUGGACGUGAGUGAAUAUAGAUGGAUCAAGUGUGAACAUUCACACAUUAUUGUCAUUGAUGUUACUCAACAAUCAACUACUCUAAGAAAAUCCUAUCUAUUCAAAUGAGUUCCUCUGCUGCUGAACUCCCAUCCCCUCUUUUUUUGGUUGCUAUUAUCGCGAUUAUCAUGGUAUAUAUGGUAGUUUGUUACCUCGUUCUUGAUAUGAUUGAUCAACAAGUAGAUUCCCACGAUGAGAUAUCUCGAAUGGAUGCUUAUGACUUAGGAUUAUCAGUUGAAGAGUUGCAAGGAAUCAGUUGCUUCUACCUCGAAGGACAAGCUAAUUCAUCGAUGUGUGUCAUUUGCUUGGAUAGUCUAUGUGAAGCAGAAUUGUGCAGAAGUUUUCCUCCUUGUAACCAUGUGUUCCAUGCUCAAUGUCUUGAUCCUUGGUUAGCCAAAAAAACAACUUGUCCAACUUGUCGAACGCCUUUAAGACCAUAAUUUUCACUCUCAUCAGAGUAAGAAAUUAUCUGUAUCUUCAACAUUCAUAUACUGUUUACUUGUAUUAUGUUCUCAUAAGUUCAUAGUAUUCUCCAGCUUUUGUCACUACUAAAAUGACCUGUUUCAUGAUGUAAAUGAAAGAUAUGCAUUAUUUUUUCGCCUUUUUGAUUCUUA